GAUGAACGCUAGCGAUAGGCUUAACACAUGCAAGUCGAGGGGCAGCAUGGUCUUAGCUUGCUAAGACUGAUGGCGACCGGCGCACGGGUGCGUAACGCGUAUGCAACUUGCCUCACAGAGGGGGAUAACCCGUCGAAAGACGGACUAAUACCGCGUACACUUGGGAUAGGGCAUCCUGACCCAAGGAACUGAACUUCGCUGUGAGAUAGGCAUGCGUCCCAUUAGCUAGUUGGUGAGGUAACGGCUCACCAAGGCGACGAUGGGUAGGGGAACUGAGAGGUUGAACCCCCACACUGGUACUGAGACACGGACCAGACUCCUGCGGGAGGCAGCAGUGAGGAAUAUUGGUCAAUGGGCGAGAGCCUGAACCAGCCAAGUCGCGUGAAGGAUGACUGUCUUAUGGAUUGUAAACUUCUUUUAGACGGGAAUAACAAGAGUCACGUGUGGCUCCCUGCAUGUACCGUAUGAAUAAGCUUCGGCUAACUCCGUG
rnacentral:rRNA from 1 species